rnacentral:rRNA from 1 species
GGACCUGAAUAAGGUUGCCCGAUGACGGUACCGGGAGAAUAAGCCACGGCUAACUCUGUGCCAGCAGCCGCGGUAAGACAGAGGUGGCAAGCGUUGUUCGGAGUUACUGGGCGUAAAGAGUCUGUAGGUGGUCUGUCAAGUCUUUGGUGAAAGGCCGUGGCUUAACCAUGGGAAUGCCAAAGAGACUGGCAGACUGGAGGCUGGGAGAGGGAAGCGGAAUUUCUGGUGUAGCGGUGAAAUGCGUAGAUAUCAGAAGGAAGGCCGGUGGCGAAGGCGGCUUCCUGGAACAGACCUGACACUGAGAGACGAAAGCGUGGGGAGCAAACAGGAUUAGAUACCCUGGUAGUCCACGCCCUAAACGAUGGGUACUAAGUGUGGGA